rnacentral:misc_RNA from 1 species
UGAUGUUGCAAAAACUGAUGAAUCAAUGGCUAAAGUUUGGCCAUUGACUGAUAUGCUCUGUAGGUUUAAAUUAUAAUGGGGCUGCGUUGGGACAAGUGGAGUAUAGACAAUAUUUGGCUCCACAAUUUCUCCAAGAACCAGUACACCACCACCUGCAUCAUCUCCUUUCAAGCAAUGAGAGAAAACCUUUGGUGUUAUCCCCUGUGAAGCCAGCUGCGAGAUGACAGACAUGCCCUGUUGCCCAAAACCAAAGAUCCCAUCAACUGCUCUAUCAGACUUUGUCAAGUCCCCAGUCUGUAAUGUGCUACACCCAAAGACAACGGAAGCUGAAGAACUAUUGGUCACAGACCCACCAAGAACCGUAUCAAAGUGCAACAAAUCAGCUACAUAAUAGCCUGUUGUACCACUGCCAUCCCCAUACUGGAAGGUGUACCCGCAUUGAUUGCUUUGAGAAGAACACAGAGAAUCUGAUGAUUGAAUUCCAACAGCGCAUCGUUGGUCUGAACAAGAGAUCAAUGAAGCUGUUGAUGAGCUUCCAGGAUCAAAGGAAGUGAGUGGAAUUUGGAGUCCACUCGUAACAGGGCAACCAUUGCAGGAGCUGCAACUGACCCACAGAACAUCACUCCCAGUAUCUAUUUGCACAUAGAAAUCUUUUGGAGGAGAACCCAAUUGCACUUUUGUAUAAUAAAGCCCAACGAGGAAGGGAUUGAAUGUUCCUUGAACAGGGAAAUCCACGACUCCACCAGCAGACUGCAAUAUUCUACGAUGCCUAAAGCUAUCUCGUUCUCUGAGCUGGUUCAACUCAAGCCUAUGACUGGGAGGAAUCCCCCUCUCAAGAGUAAGAGUAGCCGGAAAAGAAGAAAAAACGAGUGAGACGGGCAAAAGUAAGGCAACGAUGACAAUUCCGGCAGGAAAAGUCAUUGCCAUACCGGUCAGCUUUGGCUGCUAUUUCCUUUCGAUCUCAAUGGAAGAAGAAUUGAAACUGUAGUGAUGAUAAAAAACAAGAAUGGGAUUGUAAAGGGUUGUGUUUUGUCGUGAAAUCUGCAGCGAAGAGAUGAAGAGAUUGACAGAUAGAAAGAGAUAGAGAAAGGAAAGCUGAAAAGAGACAGAUUGUCUAUGACAACAAGAACAC